rfam:Triticum aestivum genome assembly, contig: Triticum_aestivum_CS42_TGACv1_scaffold_434434_5DL
UUUGUACUCCCUCCGUCCGAAAUGCUUGUCGGAGAAAUGGAUAAAAGUGGAUGCAUCUAGAACUAAAAUAAAAUAUGUGUAGAAACAUCUAUUUCUCCGACAAGUAUUUCGGGACGGAGGGAGUACUUU